UAGGGAAUCUUGCGCAAUGGGGGAAACCCUGACGCAGCGACGCCGCGUGCGGGAUGAAGGCCUUCGGGUUGUAAACCGCUUUCAGCAGGGACGAAAUUGACGGUACCUGCAGAAGAAGGCCCGGCCAACUACGUGCCAGCAGCCGCGGUAAUACGUAGGGGCCAAGCGUUGUCCGGAUUUAUUGGGCGUAAAGAGCUCGUAGGCGGUUCGGUAAGUCAGGUGUGAAAUCUCCGCGCUCAACGCGGAGCGGUCAUCUGAAACUGCCGUGACUCGAGUCCGGUAGGGGAGUGUGGAAUUCCCGGUGUAGCGGUGAAAUGCGCAGAUAUCGGGAGGAACACCAGUGGCGAAGGCGGCACUCUGGGCCGGAACUGACGCUGAGGAGCGAAAGCGUGGGGAGCGAACA
rnacentral:rRNA from 1 species